rnacentral:rRNA from 1 species
GACGAACCGUACGAACGUUAUUCGGAAUCACUGGGCUUAAAGGGUGCGUAGGCGGUGCGGAAAGUUGGGUGUGAAAUCCCUCGGCUCAACCGAGGAACUGCGCUCAAAACUACCGUGCUCGAGGGAGACAGAGGUGAGCGGAACUUAGGGUGGAGCGGUGAAAUGCGUUGAUAUCUGCAGGAACACCCGUGGCGAAAGCGGCGCGCUGGACCACUACUGACGCUGAGGAACGAAAGCUAGGGGAGCAAACAGG